AGGAUUAACGCUGGCGGCGUGCCUAACACAUGCAAGUCGAACGAGGUAGCAAUACCUAGUGGCAGACGGGUGAGUAACGCGUGGUCAACCUACCGUUGAGUGGGGGAUAACUAGCCGAAAGGUUAGCUAAUACCGCAUACGAGUUUCGGGGGCAUCCCUGAUUCUUAAAAGGAGCAAUCCGCUCGAUGACGGGACCGCGUCCCAUUAGCUAGAUGGUGGGGUAACGGCCUACCAUGGCACCGAUGGGUAGCUGGUUUGAGAGAGCGACCAGCCACACUGGGACUGAGAAACGGCCCAGACUCCUACGGGAGGCAGCAGUGAGGAAUUUUCCGCAAUGGGCGAAAGCCUGACGGAGCGACGCCGCGUGUGGGAAGAAGGCCUUCGGGUCGUAAACCACUGUCGAAGGGGACGAUAAUGACGGUACCCUUGGAGGAGGCCCGGCUAACUACGUGCCAGCAGCCGC
rnacentral:rRNA from 1 species